rnacentral:rRNA from 1 species
GUCUACGGCCAUACCACCCUGAAUGCUCCUGAUCUCGGAAGCUAAGCAGGGUCAGGCCUGGUUAGUACUUGGAUGGGAGAAAUAGCUUAGACAAGAAUUGCUUCCAUGUAAUGAAUUGGAGGAAGUGAUAGAUC